AUUGAACGCUGGCGGCAGGCCUAACACAUGCAAGUCGAGCGAGCGGCGGACGGGUGAGGAAUGGAUGGGGGCUGGCAGAGAGGGGGGGAUGACGACUAGAAACGGUAGCAAAUCACGCAUACUAUCGGAUAACGCCUAGGGGGCUAGCUAGUAGGGUAGUUAACGGCUAAGCAAGGCGACGAUCCCUAGCUGGUCUGAGAGGAUGAUCAGCCACACUGGGACUGAGACACGGUCCAGACGCCUACGGAGGCAGCAGUGGGGAAUAUUGCACAAUGGGCGAAAGCCUGAUGCAGCCAUGCCGCGUGUAUGAAGAAGGCCUUAGGGUUGUAAAGUACUUUCAGUCGGGAGGCGUUACCGACAGAAGAAGCACCGGCUAACUCCGUGCCAGCAGCCGCGGUAAUUC
rnacentral:rRNA from 1 species